AGUGAACGCUGGCGGCGUGCUUAACACAUGCAAGUCGAACGAGAACGGAUUAUAGCUUGCUAUAAUUGUCAGCUAAGUGGCGCACGGGUGAGUAAUGUAUAGGUAAUAUGCCUCUUACUAAGGGAUAACAAAUGGAAACGUUUGCUAAUACCUUAUACUCCUUAUUAACAGAAGUUAAUAAGGUAAAGAUUUAUUGGUAAGAGAUUAGCCCGUAUUGUAUCAGUUAGUUGGUGGGGUAAUGGCUUACCAAGACUAUGACACAUAACUGGUUUGAGAGGAUGAUCAGUCACACUGGAACUGAGACACGGCCCAGACUCCUACGGGAGGCAGCAGUGGGGAAUAUUGCACAAUGGACGAAAGUCUGAUGCAGCAACGCCGCGUGGAGGAUGACACAUUUCGGUGCGUAAACUCCUUUUAUAUGAGAAGAUAAUGACGGUAUUAUAUGAAUAAGCACCGGCUAACUCCGUGCCAGCAGCCGCAGUAA
rnacentral:rRNA from 1 species